AUGGCGACCGGCGCACGGGUGCGUAACGCGUAUGCAACCUACCUGUAACAGGGGGAGUAACACUGAGAAAUCGGUACUAAUACCGCAUAACACUAUGAGAGGCAUCUCUUGUGGUUGAAAGUUUCGGCGGUUACAGAUGGGCAUGCGUUGUAUUAGCUGGUUGGUAAGGUAACGGCUUACCAAGGCGACGAUACAUAGGGGGACUGAGAGGUUAACCCCCCACAUUGGUACUGAGACACGGACCAAACUCCUACGGAAGGCAGCAG
rnacentral:rRNA from 1 species